UUUAAUUUUUAGAACAGAACAAGCAGUAAAUUUCAAAUACCCCAUGUGGUAUCACACUUUCUCACUCUAGCAUCCUAUAGUUUAAAGUAUAUCAAGUUAAUCCCUGUGGUUUCGCACUUCUCACUUUAGUACCCUGUGGCUUAAGUGUAUCAAGUUAGUAUCCUAUGGUUUCAUUUUUCUCUUUUUAUUAUCUAUUUCACUAAUUUUUUCGUUAAAUCAGUAACAAAGUUAAAAUUAAAGGGUACUAAAGUGAAUAUUCGAUAAACCUAGAUAAGAUAUCUGAAGUUUCUUGUAUAUAAUUUAACAAAAUACUAACGAAGGAAAAAAAACAGUGACAAAGUUAAAACUAAAGGGUACUAAAGUAAAUAUUCGAUAAACCUAGGUAGAGUAUUUAAAAUUUUUUAUAUAUAAUUUAACGAAAUAUUAACAGAAGAGCCGAUGAAGAGAGAAAAAUGAAACUACAGGGUACUAAAUUAAUGCACUUAAACUAUAAGCUAGUACAGUAAGAACGUGCGAAACCACGGGGUGGUAUUUGAAGU
rnacentral:lncRNA from 1 species